UACGAAGGGGGCUAGCGUUGCUCGGAAUGACUGGGCGUAAAGGGCGCAUAGGCGGUUCAUACAGUCAGAUGUGAAAUUCCUGGGCUCAACCUGGGGGCUGCAUUUGAUACGUGUGGACUAGAGUGGGGAAGAGGGUCGUGGAAUUCCCAGUGUAGAGGUGAAAUUCGUAGAUAUUGGGAAGAACACCGGUGGCGAAGGCGGCGACCUGGUCCUUGACUGACGCUGAGGCGCGAAAGCGUGGGGAGCAAACAGG
rnacentral:rRNA from 1 species